AGCUGUCAAGCAUCAGGCCACAUCGGAUCCCGUUCGCUUUUUGUCCAGCUCUCUUCGUCAGAGGCAUUAUCAAUAAGGCUAAGGCUAGGCCUACCAUUAUAACAGAUGAACUGUGUCGUCAACUAACUUGGUACGGUUUUCAUGGAACUCUUGCUGUAAAGGAUCUCCAUUUUCCAUCGAUAAUCAUAAGUGCUACACGAAAAAAAAUUGCAUCUACUGUAACAGAUGUACAAGAACGCAUUAAAGAUUGGUUGCGUAGACCAUCU
rnacentral:lncRNA from 1 species